rnacentral:rRNA from 1 species
UACGUAGGGUGCAAGCGUUGUCCGGAAUUAUUGGGCGUAAAGAGCUCGUAGGCGGUUUGUUGCGUCGGCUGUGAAAUCCCGAGGCUCAACCUCGGGUCUGCAGUCGAUACGAGCAAACUAGAGUGUUGCAGGGGAGACUGGAAUUCCUGGUGUAGCGGUGGAAUGCGCAGAUAUCAGGAGGAACACCGAUAGCGAAGGCAGCUCGCUGGGACGGUACUGACGCUAAGGCGCGAAAGCGUGGGGAGCGAACAGG